GUUACACCAGGAAUUCCGAUCUCCCCUACCGAACUCUAGCCUGCCCGUAUCGAAUGCAGACCCGGGGUUAAGCCCCGGGCUUUCACAUCCGACGUGACAAGCCGCCUACGAGCUCUUUACGCCCAAUAAUUCCGGACAACGCUCGCACCCUACGUAUUACCGCGGCUGCUGGCACGUAGUUAGCCGGUGCUUCUUCUGCAGGUACCGUCACUUUCGCUUCUUCCCUGCUGAAAGAGGUUUACAACCCGAAGGCCGUCAUCCCUCACGCGGCGUCGCUGCAUCAGGCUUUCGCCCAUUGUGCAAUAUUCCCCACUGCUGCCUCCCGUAGGAGUCUGGGCCGUGUCUCAGUCCCAGUGUGGCCGGUCGCCCUCUCAGGCCGGCUACCCGUCGUCGCCUUGGUAGGCCAUCACCCCACCAACAAGCUGAUAGGCCGCGGGCUCAUCCUGCACCGCCGGAGCUUUCCACCACCAGACCAUGCGGUCGGUGGUCGUAUCCGGUAUUAGACCCCGUUUCCAGGGCUUGU
rnacentral:rRNA from 1 species